CUUUAUACCAAUAUUGAGUGAAAUGCAAAAAGACUCAAAGUAUUUUUUUAAACCACCCAAGCAUUCAUCCCAAUAGGGAAUGCGUUGGAGAUCAAACUCUGUAAAAUCCC
rnacentral:sRNA from 1 species